UACGUAGGGGGCAAGCGUUGUCCGGAUUUAUUGGGCGUAAAGAGCGUGUAGGCGGCCAAACAGGUCCACUGUGAAAACUCGAGGCUCAACCUCGAGAGGUCGGUGGAAACCGUCUGGCUAGAGUCCGGAAGAGGAGAGUGGAAUUCCCGGUGUAGCGGUGAAAUGCGCAGAUAUCAGGAAGAACACCAAUGGCGAAAGCAGCUCUCUGGGACGGUACUGACGCUGAGACGCGAAAGCGUGGGGAGCGAACAGG
rnacentral:rRNA from 1 species